GCAGCAGACCUGAUGAGCUCACGGGUCACAUGCGGAUGAAAGCGGAGUGGGGUAGAAUGAAAGGGAAGAGAAAGGAAGAAAUUGCCUUUUCGGAGUGUGGGACAGUAAACACGGGCAAAUGAACGGAAAGAACGCACGUGCCAGCGGUGGGACGCUUGUGGUCAUGAAUUAAAAUCAUCUGGUCAGCCU